rnacentral:rRNA from 1 species
AACGAACGCUGGCGGCAGGCUUAACACAUGCAAGUCGAACGGGUGUAGCAAUACAUCAGUGGCAGACGGGUGAGUAACACGUGGGAACCUUCCUAGAGGUACGGAACAACGCAGGGAAACUUGCGCUAAUACCGUAUAAGCUCUUGCGAGGAAAGAUUUAUCGCCUUUAGACGGGCCCGCGUCGGAUUAGCUAGUUGGUGAGGUAACGGCUCACCAAGGCGACGAUCCGUAGCUGAUCUGAGAGGAUGAUCAGCCACACUGGGACUGAGACACGGCCCAGACUCCUACGGGAGGCAGCAGUGGGGAAUCUUGGACAAUGGGCGCAAGCCUGAUCCAGCCAUGCCGCGUGAGUGAAGAAGGCCUUCGGGUUGUAAAGCUCUUUUGUCAGGGACGAUAAUGACGGUACCUGAAGAAUAAGCCCCGGCAAACUUCGUGCCAGCAGCCGCCGUAA